UAGGUAUAUCCUAAGUGGAACUUCUUUUAAUUUGAUCAACUUUAUAAAAAAAAGUGUUAAUAUCUACAACAUCAAAUAUAUUUGGUAUAAAAAUAUAUGUUAUGGUGAAUCUAAUCAAGCUAAUUUGAUGUUGUAGACGUUGGUAUAUUUUUCUACAAACUUGGUCAAAAUUAAAACAGUUUGACUUAGGACAAAUCUAA
rnacentral:pre_miRNA from 1 species